AUACGUAGGGUGCGAGCGUUGUCCGGAAUUACUGGGCGUAAAGAGCUCGUAGGCGGUUUGUCGCGUCGUCUGUGAAAUUCCGGGGCUUAACUCCGGGCGUGCAGGCGAUACGGGCAUAACUUGAGUACUGUAGGGGAGACUGGAAUUCCUGGGGUAGCGGUGAAAUGCGCGGAUAUCAGGAGGAACACCGGUGGCGAAGGCGGGUCUCUGGGCAGUAACUGACGCUGAGGAGCGAAAGCAUGGGUAGCGAACAGGAUUAGAUGCCCUGGUAGUCCAUGCCGUAAACGGUGGGCGCUAGGUGUAGGGGUCUUCCACGACUUCUGUGCCGUAGCUAACGCAUUAAGCGCCCCGCCUGGGGAGUACGGCCGCAAGGCUAAAACUUAAAGGAAUUGACGGGG
rnacentral:rRNA from 1 species